rnacentral:rRNA from 1 species
CCUACGGGUGGCAGCAGUGAGGAAUAUUGGUCAAUGGCCGGAAGGCUGAACCAGCCAUGCCGCGUGAAGGUCAGUGCCCUAUGGGCGUUAAACUUCUUUUGUGCGGGAGCAAUAAUGGUCACGUGUGGCCAGACGAGAGUACCGUACGAAUAAACAUCGGCUAACUACGUUCCAGCAGCCGCGGUAAUACGGGGGAUGCAGGCGUUAUCCGGAUUUUUUGGGUUUAAAGGGUGCGUAGGCUGGGAGGUAAGUCAGCGGGGAAAUGCCCCCGCUCAACGGGGUGAAGUGCCAUUGAUACUGCCUGUCUGGAAUGCGGAUGCGGUGGGAGGAAUGUGUGGUGUAGCGGUGAAAUGCAUAGAUAUCACACAGAACACCGAUUGCGAAGGCAUCUCACGAAUCCGCGAUUGACGCUGAGGCACGAAAGCGUGGGUAUCAAACAGGAUUAGAUACCCCUGUAGUC